rnacentral:tRNA from 1 species
UAGAUGAAUGCUCGCUGGUUAGGGCACUUAGCUGUUAACUAAGAGUUUGUAGGAUCGAGGCCUGCUCAUCUAG